GUGCCCGAACGACCAAAGGGAGGAGCCAAGAGGUCUAGUCGGGCAUACAGUGAUGAUCCACCGCCACCUUACCCUGGAAUCCCAGACCUCUAAGCUCUUCUAAUCCAGGAAAUUCUGUCACACCAGUCAAUCGUAGUGGCCCUACCCGUCAUGGCUAUGGUGGGCCGGGACACUAUAACAGACCCAAAGGCGGCAGACGGCACGAGAACUCUGCUGUAUAGUGUAAGCUUCAGCCCCACCCCUGGAGUGACCUUGUGAUACUACUGCUGUAAAGUGGCCACCCUGUGGGGCGCUCCUGACUGCCACUCCCUGUAUGCAGCCUUCGUCAGUGCUGACAGCCAAUCUGUGCAACCCUACAUAGGUGCAUGUUGGCUCUUCACAAACUAAUCAAACAACAGCAGUGCAUACUUUAAGACAAGCAGAUUGCAGGAAAACAAUGCUAUAUAGUGAUAUUCAGUCUUUUGGCCAUGAAGAUAAUGUGCUCUUAAACUUGACAAAAAAGCACUGGAAUAAACAGUGAUAAAGUGGUCAAGGAAAAACAAAGUAUAACAUUUUGUUUUGUGAUGGAGCCCUGGCCUACCGCCACUUGACUCCAUGAUAAGGUUUUCUGUGUCAGGCCUUAGAUAGAAAUCUGUAUAUGAUGUCACAUGAUUAAGGAAGGAGAGACAGGACAACUGGCAUAGAAGGAUUGCAUAUAGUGAAGAAAUAUUUAUCGUAAGUCUAGUGAUUUAUUAUUGAUUGUAUUUACUGAAUGUUAAGGCAUGAAUGACCAAGUGACAUGAGGGAUCCUGAGCGUUGUGAAUGGGUGUUGUAAUGUUGCAGUGAGGAAAGAAUAGUGGUGCUUUGUGAGUUUUUUAUUUUUUAUUUUUCUUCUCUCAUUACACUAUAAAAAGAAAUAAUGGAAUGCGGCAUGGAAGCCAUCUCCAGUGUGGGUUAUACGCCAACUGUACAGAAAUAUAUGGGUUUCUCUCAGCCCUUUGAAAACAGUUCAUGUGUGUGAGACAUAGUAAACACAGUUUGAUAAUGCUUUUUUAUUUGCAUAUAUGUGCUCAUGUAUAACACUGUUAUAAAAAAGUUAUAUGAUUGGUGGUAUUAUGUGAUCAAUAAAGUCAUUGUUUAUCAGACUUAUUACAAGUUGAAUCCUUUAAUAUAGGUUGGAGAUUUUUGGUACUGCAUUAUAUUAAUUGUUAUAUAAGAUUUUGUUCAACUUUUAUGAAGUCAGAGAAGUUUGAAUUUUUAUAUCAUUCCCUGUAGACCUUUGCAUUUAUCAAUGAUGGUGUUAGAGUAAGAGUUUGAUGUAUAGAUAUUCCAGUUGGCAAAGGUAAUUGUAGGUUUUUUGAAUAAUGUACAAUAUCGAAAAUACAGGCCAAAGGGUUAUUCUGUCAUUUGAUUACAUCUCUGGAAAUUAUUUAUAAAGCUUGUAGAGUGUUUGGCACCGGAAGAAUGCUGCAUUAUAUACUGCACAGUCAGCUCUGUUGGAGCACCAAGACAAGCAUCUGUAAGAGGGAACUAUCAUUCAAUUUUUACACAUGGUUGUAUUUAAUUAAAGGAUAAAAACUUAGCUCUCAGGUUGGAGAUGACAUGUUUUAUAUUUCAUGUCCUCUUUUUUCCCCACCUGGUAAAUAGUACCAGAUUCCUUUCCACCCACCACCAUGUCCACUCCCAGAUGUUUCCUGUUUGUUCACUUAGUGCCUGUCCAUUUAGUAGCCCAGACUACAUCACUCAUUUCUGUUCUUAUUACAUAUCUGUAAUUAUGUAUCUUCCUGAAACCUCUUCCUUUUAUUGUAGUGUUUUUCUUCUUUUCAUCACGUUUUUAUGAGUUCUGAACAAGUAGUGUUUUAUUUUAAUGAGGUGUAUCAUUCCUGUGUCCUUCAAAAAACAAAUGAAUAAAUAAAUGACAUUGUAAAUUCAUCUGGGAUCCUUGUAGGCUUACCCAAGAGACCCAUGUUUAUGCUAACCUUCCCUGCUCCCCAUAUGCUAACCUCCCUUUCCACCCUCAUGCUCACCCCGAACCUGAUCUGUACGCUCACAAUAGCCCCUCCCAACACCUCUCAUGGUGCCCCAAGUCCACAUUAUUAGGGAGUGCUGGAACAGAUUUGUCAUCAGCUCAAAGUAUUUUUUAUGUUUGAAAUAAAAGGCAUUGCAAGAAAAUGGAAAUACUGGUGAGCCUGACAGUGGUAUAUACAGUAACUUUGGGCCUUGGCUUUGCUCCCACUUGGUUUGGUUAGAUACUGAAAUGCUGUCUGUACUAUAAUUCAUCAGUCAUACUUUGAUACAAUUGGUGUAUAAGAAAAAUAGUCUCUCACAAUAAGAGAUUACAUCUUUGAUCUUUGAUUCGACAAGGGAGCCUAACUGAUGCUCAUUGUGAAGUUCCUGCACUCACCAUAUGUGUAGAAGUGUGUCAAAGUGUAUGUAUGUAUGACGGAUGGAAACAAAUUUUUUUAUAUAUUUCACUAACUUGUGUUGGUAAGGAAAGAUGCACUCAUGUUUACCAUGUGCCCUGUGUCAUGUAGCAUUAAGCGAGUAAAAAUUUUGUACUAAAUAUUUAUCUUCAUAUCUUGCAGAAAUACCACAAACUUAAGAGCUUUGGUGGGUUUUAAAAUACCCAGUUCCAAAGCAUGUUCAGUCCUCAUUAUGGAGUAUAUACAAGUUGUUCUAAACAGUAAUAUGCAGUGUUCAUAUUUGUCAGGGAUCACAGGAUUCCUAGCAUGUGAAAAAGAAACUUUUUUUUCUCUCUCUCUCUCUUUUUUUUUUUUUUUUUUUUUUUUUUUUUUUUUUUUUUUUUUUUUUUUUGCUAUGGUCACUUGAUUAAUUUUUGAUAUUCUAGCAUUCCAAAGAGAAAGUUAUGGACCAAAGAGUGCAAUAGCCAUAGCUUACUGUUUUGAUCUUUGCCCACUUGUGUUAAUCUACUUUCUCUCAUGCUUUUUAGGUCAGUGAAUUAUACUUUACAGUCAGAUAUUUAGAACAAAAAGUGUUUGUAUAUGUUCAUUAAAAUGGCAGUAUUGAAAUUCUUGAUGUUCUUUCAUUUUAUGAAAAAGAUCACACUUGGGUAAUAAUUGGUGCUCUAACUAUACCUGGAUAAGAGCAUGAGAAGGAAGAUAAAUGUGGAUCCCAGGUAUCAUUAUGUUUUUGAAAAUUGACCUAUCUAUGAAUUACAGUUUUAUCAUGUUUUUUUUUCUGAUGUUGCUAAAUAUUUUGAUUUUACUUAGUAUGAUUUUCAAAAAUCCAUUUGAUCCCCCGUCCAAAUUUCGGCCAUAUUUCUUGCCCUUUGUCUAGCCCUGAAGAGCACCCAAGUGACCUUCCAGAGAUACCCAGAAAAUUGUGAUGCAGGUAUGGCCAUGUCUUUAGUGCUGAUGGAUCAGUGCUAAAUCUCAUCACACAAAACCAAAUGGGAAAUGUUUUAACACAUUUUAAAAGACAUUCCCAAGAAGAUAAUGAAGGUCUCUGAGUGCUUAUGGUCUGAAGAACUAUAACCAUCAGAGUUGUGUCUAAAGUUAAAGUAAUUAUUUAUUGAUAUUUUCCCCUAUUUUGAAGCACAAACUUCAAGAAUCUUGGUUUAUAGAAUUUUCAAAAUUAAUUUCAGACAUAACUUAUUGAGUUUUUAUCUGAUUUUAUCUGUAAAAUGAAACAGUGGGAAAUGCACAUAUAUUUAUGAUUGUUUAAUUGUGUAAUGUAAUGCUUAUAUAUGAUUUCAAUAUUUGUAAGUGCUGAAUUAGACUAAUUACAUUAAUAAUGUCUUAUUUAAAAAGUUAUUGAACAUAUUUCAGCAUUGCACAUACCAAAGCAUCUGAUAAAUUCAAUUCUAAGUUGUAUGAAUAUUUAUGAAAGGAAUCAGAAGAAGCAUCAGUAUUAUAACAGCUAUUAGACACAGCUCUCUAGCUUCCCAAAAGUACCUAAAGAUGCUCCAUAUCAAGACGUGAACCAUAUGUUGGCUGUAAAGUGUAUAUUGGGCAUUAUGAUUGCACAAUCCAUCACAGACUUCCCAGGACAGCCUGAAAUAAUAAUACAUUGAUAUAGGUUUGCCUUUAUUCUGUAUUUUAAAAGUAACUUGAAAUAUUUUAUGUACAGCCUCUUUAUUCCCUAUUGUCAGUUUGAUGUUCUGUACCUAGCCGGAAGGUAAUAUUGCACAGUGCUGUUUUGUGCAACCUUACUGCUAGCUUAAUGAUAAGAAUCACCAGAAGCCAUUAAGACAAAUUUUCAAGUCCCUGAUUUGAGAAUUGACUGGGAAGAAUCAUAUGGUUUAAUCUUCUAAAUGAUUCAUAUCACAAUGUUAGUAUAAAAAAAAGAAAAAGAAUAAAAGGAAAAAAAUCAAUAGAAGAGAAGUUUGUAAAAUCUAGCACUGCGUAAUAAGACCAUAGAUACACACUAAUCCUUUAUGUUUACAUGAUGCAUCUGGGCAUAAAUUAGUUUUAAUAUGUUUCCAUAUAUGUAGUAUGAUCAUUGUUACAGUCAGUACACACUUGAUAUUAACGUGAGUGACAUCAUUUCUUAGAACUCAGUGUUUUAUGAUCACUCCAUAUGUUUAAUAAAUAAAUGAUGUGUGCUUUUUA
rnacentral:lncRNA from 1 species